CGUUCUCUGGUGUAUCCAGCUGUUGUGAUUGCCGUCAAGGCAUGCUGUCUGAAUACCGUGGCUGAGUGCUGGGGUGAAUUCCCCGGGGUGAAGCGGGGAUCUGCUGGAGCCCUGCUGGGCAUAGGAUCACAGGCUCGCUCUGGGUGUGUGUGGGUGUGUGUGAGCCGUAUUCUUGUGGCUCACACCCUCCAGUUGCCAGUUAACAGCCCGGCAUAAUCGGACUGCCACCAUCACUUCAAGCUGAGCUGCUGUUUUGGUUCUCUUUAAUAUUUGUUUGGUGAACUGUUUAUGUUUUUUUCAUUCAGUUGUUUGCGGCGGCUUGGAGCGGACUUCUCAGCCCAGCAGGGCUGAGUGCCGUCUGCGUCCACUCCGUGCAGAGGCUGGUUGUGUUGCUGCUGUGUCAGAACUUGUACAGCUGCAAGGGCUACUUCAGUUGAUGGUGUUUUGUUUUCUUUGUUAUUUGGAAAUUAAUUCAGGUAUUUCCUUUUGGUGUCUUGGUUUGCUUUGUUGCAUUAGUUUAAUUGUGUUUUUGUUAUUUUCUUUGUGAGUUUAUUUAGCCUCAUGUAUUGAUUUAAUUCAUCAUUUAUUGUUCUUUGGUUUUGUUUUCUUUUGUCCACACCAGUUAUGGUUAGUUUGGGCAUGUUUUAUUAAUCUUUGUCUCUGUCUUCUGUGUACAGGUGCUGUGGCUUACUGUGGCAGUUAUUUCCUGCUGGUGGUGUCUUCUUCACGGUCCCCCCUUUCUUUUGGUUUUGUGUGUGUAUUAUUUGCAGUGUCACGGGUGAUUCAUUUGAGGAUUCCUCUCCCCUUUGUGGUUGUCCUGCCGCAGGGUAAACCCCAGCCUGGGUUUUUUUUUUUUU